rnacentral:lncRNA from 1 species
UGGCCCAAAAUGACAUUAUAACGUCAUUUUGCUGCAAGCUAUAUUGAAAAAGGAGCUUGUUAGAAAUGUAGUUGAUAUUCACGGCUAACUUUAUGAAAAUUAGUUGAAGCAGUCAUCUAAUAGACCAUUUUGUUCCAGAAACUAGAACUAAAAACUCAAAUAUUAAACUGUUUGCAUAUAUAAACUAUUCUUUAAUAAAGUUCUACAUUCAAUCUAGUUAAACUUUAUAAU